AGGCUGCAACUCGCCUGCAUGAAGUCGGAAUUGCUAGUAAUCGCGGAUCAGCAUGCCGCGGUGAAUACGUUCCCGGGCCUUGUACACACCGCCCGUCACACCAUGGGAGUCGGUAACACCCGAAGCCGAUAGUCUAACGAAAGAGGACGUCGUGAAGGUGGGAUUGAUGACUGGGGUGAAGUCGUAACAAGGUAUC
rnacentral:rRNA from 1 species